GGGGGCGCGCUGACGUCUCGCUGGCUUAACCUGUUGCUCUCGAGACUGCGUCGGAGCCCGCAGGCAGGGCCGCGGGAAGCCGGCCGGGCCGCCGCCGCCAUGCUCGGCCCCGCCGCCAGCCACGGGCUUGCAGCCGGACGCCCGGACUCGGAGACACGAUCCGCUGAACGCCCGCAAUAAGAAAGAAAACCCACCCCACGCUGCUCUCCACCUCAACGAGGUCCGGAAUGCAACGAGGUCCGGAAUGGGAGGCGGGGUGCGGUUCUCGUCCAAGUUCUACCCCAUUUGCUUUGUGGCUGCAUCCGAAACGGACGUGCCCCGGGAAGGCGUCCACGCUCCAAGACAAGGUUGCCUCAGUGCAGUUUCUACAGCCCGAGUUUAAACUAGUCCUUUGCAUUCUACCCAGCCCUCUGCAAUGCGGAUGUAUUUUAAUUCUUAAAUUCUUUAUGGAACAGCUUUCUAA